UACUAUGUUACGACUUAUCUCAACUAAUAAAUGAGAGCGACGGGCGAUGUGUACAUAUUAUAGAGCUAAAAUCAUAUUUACAAUCUACAAAAAAUUACAAUUAAAUCCAAUUUUAUAUUACUAAAAUUUUCAAGCAAUAAUCCAAUAAAUCAAAAUAAAUGUAAUCCAUCUCCACCAAAUUAUAAACUGCACCUUGACCUGAAAUAAAUUUUAAAAACAAAACUAGAAAAUUAUUAAAACCCUAAAAAGAUCCUCAUUAUAACGGCGGUAUACAUAUAUAAAUUUGGUAAGGUACAACGCGGAAUAUCGAUUAAGGAACAGAUUCCUCUAAAUAGACUAAAAUACCGCCAAAUUCUUUAAGUUUCAAGACCUUAACUAAUACUACCUAGGUUAAAAUAAUUUAUAUCCAAAAUAAUAGGGUAUCUAAUCCUAGUUU
rnacentral:rRNA from 1 species